UGCUUCUACCUAGUAUCUAGUGUCACUACUCACGGACUACUAAAAGAGUACUAAAAAUAUCAGUCUGAAAGAAAAUACAUAACAAGUAUGUUUCGAUACAAUGAAAAAUAAACGGAAAGAAAUAGAUGAGACUCAGGGCCCCCGAACGUCAGCGAACUACCUCAGAGUCUCGGGACUGAAGACUCGCUCCCUAGCUACUGUUGCGGUCCGUAAAUUGUAUCCUGACCUGUGCACAAAAGGCACCGAAGAGCGGUAUUAGCACAACCGACCCCAUGUGCUGGUAAGUGCCCGGCCUAACCACGACGAGGUAGUGACGAGGCUAAACCGGACCUACCAUAAUCAACCUGUACUAAUAUAUGUGCAAUAACGGAAAGAUAAAAAAAUCUAAACCGAUAAUGGGAAAGGGGGUGUAACAGUUCAAUUAUAAGUCCAACGAACAAGAAAUGGAAACUGAAUAUUUAACAUCAAUAAAAGAGAGCCAGUAAAAUCAACCGUUGCAUGGCACCACCCAUCGUGCUUUUACACUCGUCCUCACUAAUAUAAUAAAUUAAAGUGGACGGCAUCAGCCAUCGUACUUUAUCACUCUCCCUCACCCAAUCAAUAGCAUAAAGUAAUCCGGGGUUACACGGCAUCACCCAUCGUGCUUUAUCGUUCAGCCUCACCCAAGCAAUAAUAAUAAGCAAAUCAUUGGUUACACGACAUCACCCAUCGUGCUUUAUAGGUCAUCCUCACCCAAACAAUGAUCACCAAUAAUAUGGCGAGGGUAUAAACAACAUGAUUAAUCAUCCCGGCAAGGGAGAACAUUUCAACAACAAGUCCCGUCAAGGGAAAAAAAUACCCCACUUCUUCUUUAACUCAUUUGAUUCUCAAUUAUCACUUCAUAAUUCAUUUAACAAGUAAUUAGCUCAAUUGUUUCACCUCUUUCGAAUUUAUAAGCAGCUACGACUCACAGUUAUGCUAGACUUGGGCGCAUAGGUAACCGUUACCAUACCUAUACACCGACUCCACAUAGCACAUAGCAAAUAUUGUCCUAAUCCUAUUCCCUAANNNNNNNNNNNNNNNNNNNNNNNNNNNNNNNNNNNNNNNNNNNNNNNNNNNNNNNNNNNNNNNNNNNNNNNNNNNNNNNNNNNNNNNNNNNNNNNAAAGCCAAAGUUAGAACAAACACUUACCUCGAAUCCGAAAAUAGCAACUCAAAGCUCAACAAUCGCCUUUCCUCUAGAAUUCGACCCCAGACCAAUGAUAUCUAACAUAAAUCGAUUUAAUAUUAUCAAUAAUAGCACAAGGAUAUAACUUCCUAGCUUAGAAAUGCAUUUUCUAAUUUUUUUUCCAUAAAUAAAAAAAAUCCGACACCAGGCCCACAUGGUCCAAACUUGAGGCUCGGAUCAAAUUCCGAUUACCCAUUACCCCACGAGUCCAAAUAUAUGAUUUGUUUUAAGAUUCGACCCUAAAUUGAGGUUGAAUUGCCCAAAAUUUUCAAAAAUCUAACUCUACCAAAAAGCCCUUAUUUCUACCAUGAUUUCAUGUUUUAGGGUUAGAAAAUUGAUGUUUAGAUGAAGUAAAUUAGAAGAAAAUGAAGUUAGGAUUACUUCACAAUUUCAUGUUUUAGGGUUAGAAAUUUGAUGAUUUGAUUAAGAAAUAAUGGAAGAAUAAGGUUGGAAUCACUUACCCAAGGAGUUAUGGUGAAAUGGAGGCUUGGAGUUUGUCAAUGGAGAGUGUAGGAGAAGAGCUCGUGUGGAAUGGUGAGGAAAUUCUCGAGCUACUGUUAUGUUUUUAACUUAAAAUCACUGGGCGAAAAAGACUCUAUAUGAUCGCAUCAUAGGAUUGCGUUCGCAUUGAAUAACUGCUCGGGAUUCUAUGCGUUCGCGGAAAAGCUAUGCGAACGCAUAGAAGAAACUGGGGGAAAGUCUGGUUAGCUCUAUGCGUUCGCGAAGAAAGGGUGCGAACGCAUAGAAGAAAGUUCUGGGGACUGACAUUUGAACUAUGCAAACGCAUAGGGACACUGCGAACGCGGAAGGGGAACGAGUCAGAACUAUGCGAACGCAUAGGAAGGGUGCGUUCGCAUAGGAGAAAACCUGACUGCAUUUUCUGCAACUGUUCUAAGUGCAAAACAUCGCGAACCACCCCCAAAAUCACUCCCGAGCCCUCGGGGCUCCUAACCAACCACAUCACUAACUCAAUAUCAUCCUACGAACUUUCUUGGGCGAUCAAAUCACUAAAAUAAGAUUAAAAUAAAAGAAUCAACCUCCAAAACUCAUGAUUUUCAUUUCAAAGUUCAAAACUUCCAAAUUUUCCAUUUUUAGUGCAAAACAUGUCAAAUGACGUCCGUUUUAAACCAAACUUUACAGAUAGCGCUUAACGCUCAUUUAAGACUUGUACCGGGCGUUGGAACCAAAAUACGAGCCGAUACCAUUACUUUUGAUCAAAUCUCAAUUUCAUUUUUUCUUACGCAUUUUCAAAAAAUAAUUUCAUGGAAAAAUUUCGUACUCGGGCCUGGGACCUCUGAUUUCGAUUUCGAGAAUACGCCCGGGUCCUAUAUUUUCCUAUAGACCCUCCAGGACCAUCACAUCAUGGGUCCGGGUCCGUUUACCUAAAAUAUUGACCAAAGUCAACUAUAGCAAUAUUAUUAUCAAAAUUCAUAGUUUUUAACAUAGAUUUCAUAUAUUUCCACUUAAAAAAAUUUUGGGUUCGCUUUCGGACUGUGCACGCAAAUCAAGACAACCAAAUAAGAGGUUUGUAAGGCCUCGGAAGCACAAGGGAAGGGAGAAUGACGGUGAUGACCCUUUGAGUCGUCACAUCCUCCACCUCUAAAAUAACUGUUCGUCCAAGAACGGACAAAAGAAAUAAGUACCUAAGUAAGGGAACAAAUGGGGAUAACAGCUCUGCAUAUCAGACUCGGACUCCCAGGUCGAUGCCCUAGGAGGCUGACCUUUCUACUGAACACGUACUGAGGGAAAAUUCCUCGACCUCAACUGUCAAACCUGCCAGUCUAAAAUAGCCAUUGGCUCUUCCUCAUAUAAUAGAUCCUUGUCCAAUUGGACAGUACUGAAAUCUAACCUGGGGCGAGAUCACCGUGAUACUUCUGAAGCAUGGACAUAUGAAAACUGGAUGCACAACUGACAAGCUAGGUGGCAAGGAAAGUCUAUAAGCCACCUUCCCCACACUGUCAAGAAUCUCAAAUGGUCCAAUAAACCUAGGGCUAAGCUUUCCCUUCUUCCCAAAUCUCAUCAUGCCCUUCAUAGGCAACACUCGGAGCAAUACCCGCUCACCAACCAUAAACGCCAUAUCACAAACCUUGCGGUCUGCAUAACUCUUUUGCCUAGACUGAGCCGAACGAAGCCUAUCCCGAAUGAUCUUGACCUUGUCCAAGGCCUCCUGAACCAAAUCUGAUUCAUAGGCGACACACGGAGCAAUAUGUGCUCACCAACCAUGAAAGUAACAUCCUUGACCUUACGAUCUGCAUAACUCUUCUGCCUAGACUGAGCUGACCGAAGUCUGUCCCCACGAGCCUCCAAAAUCAAUAACGUAGGCUCAGAGCAUAUCCUCAAGAAUCUGAAUAGUCCUCUCGGACAGACCGUUCGUCUGGGGUGAAAUACUGUACUCAAAUGGACUUGGGUGCUCAACUCAUGCUAUACCGCUCUCCAGAAUUGUGAGGUAAACUGCGGCCCCUGGUCCAAAAUAAUAGAUAUGGACACCCCAUGAAGGCGAACAAUCUCUAUGAUAUAAAUCUCGGCAUAUCUCUCAGAUGAAUAGAUGGUGGCAACUGGAAUAAAAUGCGCUGACUUGGUCAGCCUAUCAACAAUAAACCAUAUAGCAUCAAACUUCUUUCGAGUCAUCAGAAAUUCAGUAACAAAAUCCGUGGUAAUUCUUUCCCGUUUCCACUAGGAAAGCUCCAUCCUCUGAAAUAACCCACCGGGCCUCUGAUGCGUGUACUUCACCUGCUGACGAUUUAGUCAAUGAGCCACAUAUAGAACAAUGUUUUUCUUCAUUCUGCGCCACCAGUAAUGCUGCCUCAAGUCUUGAUACAUCUUCGUGGCGCCCGGGUGAAAAGAAUACCGAGAACUGUGGGCCUCCGCUAAGAUCGACUCCCGAAUACCAUCAAUAUUGGGCACACAAACUCGCCCCUGAAAUCUUAAUACGCUGUCAUCUCCUAAAGUCAUCUCCCUGGCACCUCCCCGUUGUACCGUGUCUCUCAGGACACACAAAUGGGGAUCAUCAAACUGCCACUCCCGAAUNNNNNNNNNNNNNNNNNNNNNNNNNNNNNNNNNNNNNNNNNNNNNNNNNNNNNNNNNNNNNNNNNNNNNNNNNNNNNNNNNNNNNNNNNNNNNNNNNNNNNNNNNNNNNNNNNNNNNNNNNNNNNNNNNNNNNNNNNNNNNNNNNNNNNNNNNNNNNNNNNNNNNNNNNNNNNNNNNNNNNNNNNNNNNNNNNNNNNNNNNNNNNNNNNNNNNNNNNNNNNNNNNNNNNNNNNNNNNNNNNNNNNNNNNNNNNNNNNNNNNNNNNNNNNNNNNNNNNNNNNNNNNNNNNNNNNNNNNNNNNNNNNNNNNNNNNNNNNNNNNNNNNNNNUUCAUAGUCUUUCAACAACUCCAACCACCUCCGCUGUCUCAAAUUCAACUCUUUUUGCUUGAACAAGUACUGAAGGCUCUUGAGAUCAGUGUACACCUCACACGUCACACCAUAUAAUUAAUGCCUCCACAUCUUGAAGGCAUGAACAAUGGCUGCCAACUCUAGGUCAUGAAUUGAAUAAUUUUUCUCGUGGAUCUUCAACAGCCUCGAAGCAUAAGCUAUGACCUUGCCAUUCUGCAUCAACACUGCGCCAAGCCCGAUGCGGGAAGCAUCAAAAUACACAGUAUAAGGCCCAAAUCCCGUGGGCAAAACCAAUACCGGUGUCGUAGUCAGAGCUAUAUUGAGCUUCUGGAAACUCGCCUCGCACUCGUCUGACCACCUAAACUGGGCACCCUUCUGGGUUAAUCUAGUCAUCGGGGCUGCGAUAGAUGAAAACCCCUCUGCGAAACGUCUGUAGUAACCAGCUAACCCCAAGAAGCUACGGAUCUCUGUAGCUGAAGUUGGUCGAGGACAGUUCUUGACUGCCUCUAAAUUCUUCGGGUCCACCUGAAUACCCUCUGAAUGCUGAUACGACAAGACCCACGAAUGCGACUGAACUCAACCACAGCUCGCACUUUGAGAACUUGGCGUACAAUUGACUAUUCUUCAGAGUCUGAAGAACCACUCUGAGGUAUUUCUCAUGCUCCUCUCGAAUGCUGCAGUAUUUAAAGAUGUCGUCAAUGAAUACAAUCACAAACAAAUCCGAAUAGGUCCUGAACACUCGAUUCAUCGACUCCAUGAAUGCUGUCGGGGCAUUGGUUAACCCAAACGACAUCACCAAGAACUCAUAAUGCCCGAACCAAGUACGAAAAACUAUUUUAAGGACGCCAAAUAUCCUAAUCCUCAACCGAUGGUAACCAGAUUCCCAAUCUAUCCUUGAAAACACCUUGGCACUCUGAAGCUGAUCGAACCAUAUCCUUAAUCCUCGGUAGUGGAUCCUUUUUAUUUGUCGUUGCCUUUCUCAACUGCCGCUAAUCAAUGCACAUACUCAUCUAACCAUCCUUUUUCUUCACAAAAAACACUAGUGCGCCCCAAGGCGAAACACUGGGCCUAAUGAAACUCUUACCUAGCAAAUCCUGAAGCUGCUCCUUUAACUCUUCCAACUCUGGCGGGGCCAUGCAAUACGACGAAAUGGUAAUAAGCUGAGUACUCGGCGCUAGGUCAAUACAAAAAUCGAUAUCCCUAUCAGGUGGCAUGCCCGACAGGUCUGAGGAGAAAACCUCGAGAAAUCUCCUGAACCAUACAAACAGAACCAAUGGGAGGAACCUUUAUGCUGGAGUCGCGAUUAUACGCCAAUUGAGCCAAAAACCUCUUCUUAUCCAUGCGUCGAGCCUUCGCAUAAAAUAUCACACUUGGGGUUGGAUGAUCUGAACUCCCUCUUCACUCUAAAUAGAGCAAAUCGGGUAAAGACAGCGUCAAGGUCUUGAUGCAAGAAUCCAAAAUAGCAUGGCACGGGGACAACUAAUCCAUUCCCAAUAUAACGUCAAAGUCCACCAUGUCAAAAAGCAAUAAGUCGACAUGUGUCUGAAGACCCUCAAAUACUACCAAACAUAAAUGAUGCACUCAGUCGGCCAUUAUAGAAUCACUCACCGGUGUAGACACAUAUAUACAGAAAACCCAAUGCCUCACGAGGCAUAAUCAAAUGGGGUGCAAAACAGGGCAAAAUAUAUAAAUACGUAGAUUCAAGGUUAAAGAGAGAUGAAGAUUAUCUAAUACAAAUCGGAACAAUACCUGUAAUUUCUGCAUCUGAAGUCUCAACCUCCAAACUAGACUCAGGCUGAUCCCUACUGCUGGCGGUCCAAACUCCACCUCUAAGACCUUUACCCCUGCCUCUAGCCGGCUGGGUAGGCUGUGGAACCUUCGAUGCCCGGAGCCAAGCACAAUAACUCUGAUACUGAGAGCUGCUCAGAGCUCUAGGGAAAAAUCUAACCAUGUGCCAUGGAUCUCCACAAGCAUGGCAAAACCUCGACUACUACAGACGAGCACCCCUUAGUCUCGGGUAGGCCCUCCUGAGGUGACCAUACUCACCACACUCAUAACACCUACAGAGAUCCUGCAACUGAGGAAACUGAUGCUGGCCCUGUCGACCCAAACGAUCACCUGAAGUACCAUGAGUGGUAGGGAAAACCGACUGAAAUGGCUUGGAAGGAUGGCCUCUACCAUAAGAACCUCUACCUCCAGAAGAGGUACCGCUGAAUAUGCCUGUAUGACGGGGUUUCUUAACUGAUCGAUGACCGCCUCCCAAUGGCAGUACUACCUUAACUCCACGACCCUCAUUGGCCGUCUCCUGAAAAGGGACCCCACUCCUUGUCUGAGCCGCUGCACCCGGCUGAUCUACUACCGCUUACUGAGUCCUUAGAAGCAAAACCACUCAAAUAACACCCUCCACAAGAUCCACUAAUCGUACCAAAACGUCAUGAAGAACUGGGGUGGCUAUGAGCCCCUCAGGUACCAGAGCUGGGCCUACUGGAACGGCUGGAGCUAGAGCCUCCUCAUUGUAGGCAACAUGUGGCUCCACCUCUAGGUCUGCUCCUCGGGGCUGAGCUCUGCCCCAACCUCGACCUCGCCCUCUACCUCCGAUAGGAGCUGUUGCUGGAGACUCGGACUGCUGCGUAGUAAAAGAGGAAGCACGUAUUCUCACCAUCUGUGAAAGAAUAGAGUAGAAAUUCAAUAUGUGUUUGGGGAAGAGAAACACACGACAAGAAAGAACAAAGUGAAAAUUCUCCUAACCCUGUAGCCUCCAGGGGAUAAAUACAGAAGUCUCCGUACUGAUCCCUCAAACUCUACCGAGUUUUUCUGUGAGUUGUGAGACCCAAGUAACCUAAUGCUCUCAUACCAACUUGUCAUGACCCGGAUAUUUUCCACCAUUGGGAAAAGUGAUGGCGCCUACUGUCGGAGCUAGGCAAGUCAACCUUUUUAAACAUUUCACAAAAACUUCAAUCUAAAAUAGUAUAAUAACUGAAAUAAUUAAUUGAAACCCACGCGAAAGACUUUUAACAAAAAUAACAAUAGUAAAGUGCGGAAAUUCGUAACAUGCCUCUACCCAGUAUCUGGUGUCACUACUCACGGACUACAGAGUACUAAAAACAUCGGACUGAAAGAAAAUAAGUAACAAGCCUGUUUCAAUACAAUGAAAACAAAUGGAAAGAAAUAGAUGAAACUCAGGGACUGCGAACGCCAACGAACUACCUCGCGAGUCUCGGGAUUAUUUCGAUACAAUGAAAAAAAACAGAAAGAAAUAUAUGAGACCCAGGGCCCGCGAAAACCAGCAAACUACCACGGAGUCUCGGGACUGAAGACUCACUCCCUAGCUACUGCUGCGGUUCGUAGGAUGUAUCCUGGCCUGUGCACAAAAGGCACCAAAGUGUAGUAUCAGCACAACCGACCCCAUAUGCUUGCUAAGUGCCCGGCCCAAUCUCGGCGAGGUAGUGACGAGGCUAAACCGGACCUACCACAAUCAACCUGUAUAGAUAUAUGUGCAAUAACGGAAAGAUAACAAAAUUUAAAUAGAUAAUGGGAAAGGGACAUGCUAGGGGGCGUAACAGUUCAAUUAUAAGUCAAACGAACAAGAAAUGGAAACUGAAUAUUUAACAUCAAUAAAAGAGAGCCAGUAAAAUCAACCGUUGUACGGCACCGCCCAUCGUGCUUUUACCCUCGUCCUCAUCAAGAUAAUCAAUUAAAGUCUACGACAUCACCCAUCGUACUUUAUCACUCUCUCUCACCCAAUCAAUAGCAUAAAGUAAAUCCAGGGUUACACGACAUCACCCAUCGUGCUUUAGCUCUAUGCGAACACAUACGGACAUUGCUAACGCGGAAGGAAAAGGAAUCAGAACUAUGCGAACGCAUAGGAAGGCUGCGUUCGCAUGGGAGAAAACCUGACUGCAAUUUUUCUGCAACUGUUCUAAGUGUAAAACAGCCCGAACCACCCCCGAAAUCACUUCCAAGCCCUCGGGGCUCCCAACUAACCACACACACUAACUCAAUAUCAUCCUAAGAACUUGCUCUAGCGAUCAAAUCGCUAAAAUAACAUUUAAAUCAAAGAAUCAACCUCCAAAACUCAUGAUUUUCAUUUCAAAGCUCAAAACUUCCAAAUUUUCCAUUUUUAGUCCAAAAUACGUCAAAUGACGUCCGUUUUCAACCAAAAUUUACAGAUAGUGCUUAACACUCAUUUAAGACUUAUAUCGGGCAUUGGAACAAAAAUACUAGCCUGAUACCAUUACUUUUGAUAAAAUCUCAUUUUCAUUUUUGCUUACACAUUUUCAGAAAAUAAUUUCACGAAAAAAUUCUGUACUCGGGCUUUGGACCUCGGAUUUCGAUUCGGGAAUACGCACGGGUCCCAUAUUUUCGUACGGACCCUCUGAGACCUUCACAUCACGGGUCCGGGUCCGUUUACCUAAAAUAUUGACCAAAAUCAACAAUAGCAAUAUUAUUAUCAAAAUUCAUAGUUUUUAACACAGAUUUCAUAUAUUUACACAUAAAAUUUUUUUGACUUCGCGUUCGGACUAUGCACGCAAAUCGAAGCAACCAAAUAAGAGGUUUUCAAGGCCUCGGAAGCACAAGGAAAGGAAGAAUGACGGUGAUGACCCUUUGGGUCAUCACGGAUAGCUCUAUUGGCAUGCUUUCAGGUUUUACUUAUUUUAAUCGUUGUUAUUGUCAUGCAAAGAUCCUAUAGGCAUGUCAUCUAUAUGAAAUUGGUUAUUUAACUCCUAUAAGCAUAUUUGCCUUGUGACACAUGCAUAUGCAAAAUGCAGGUAGUCCUAUAGGCAUAUUAUCUAUAUGAUAUGCAGACUUUCAGUAAUGAAUUAUAAAUAUGAUAUCUAUACGAAGUAUAGAAAAAUCUAUGACCAUGAUAUCUAUAUGAAGUGCAGAAUACCCUAUAAACAUGGUAUCUAUAUGAGAUGCAGGAAAAACCUAUGAACAUGGUAUCUACGUAGAAGUUUUAGUAGUAAUUCCCUAUAAACACGAUAUCUAUAUGAGAUGCAAAAUUUCAGUAGUAAAUGAUAUCUACAUGAGAUGCAGAAUUUCAGUAGUUAAUAUCUAUAGACAUGAUAUCUACCCCUUUUACAUAUAUUCAGUCCCAUCCUUUUUCACGACCCACCGCAGUAGUUAUUACAAAAUUACUACAAGCCAAAUGAAUCAGAAAGAAAGUAAAAUUAUAUCAGUGAUUACAUCUACAUCUAAUCAGCCUAAUUCAGACUCAAAG
rnacentral:lncRNA from 1 species